rnacentral:tRNA from 1 species
CGGAGCGUAGCGCAGUCUGGUAGCGCAUCUGNNNNUUUGGGACCAGAGGGUCGCAGGUUCAAAUCCUGCCGCUCCGACCA